AAGGGAUGGAUGGAAGAAAGAAUGGAUAUACAAUAGCUGCUUCAGCAGCUGCAAGGCGUUCAGAUUGCAGGCUGCUACUCGCCUGCAUGAAGUAGGAGUCGCUAGUAAUCGUCGGUCAGCCAUACGGCUGUGAAUCC
rnacentral:ncRNA from 1 species